UGGGUGGUGGUGCAUGGCCGUUCUUAGUUGGUGGAGUGAUUUGUCUGGUUAAUUCCGUUAACGAACGAGACCCCCGCCUGCUAAAUAGCACCAGGAAUGCUUCGCAUUGCUGGAUUGCUUCUUAGAGGGACUUUGUGUGACUAACACAAGGAAGUUGGGGGCAAUAACAGGUCUGUGAUGCCCUUAGAUGUCCUGGGCCGCACGCGCGCUACACUGAUGCAUGCAACGAGUCUAUAACCUUGGCCGGGAGGCCUGGGUAAUCUGUGAACGUGCAUCGUGAUAGGGAUAGAUUAUUGCAAUUAUUAAUCUUGAACGAGGAAUUCCUAGUAAACGCAAGUCAUCAGCUUGCAUUGAUUACGUCCCUGCCCUUUGUACACACCGCCCGUCGCACCUACCGAUCGAAGGUCAUGAUGAGCCCUCAGGAUAGGGAGUUGUUCCCUAACGGGAGCUUUUUUCUAGAAUUUGUGCAAAUCCUGCCUUAGAGAAGUGAAGUCGAGAUC
rnacentral:rRNA from 1 species